GAUGAACGCUGGCGGCGUGCCUAAUACAUGCAAGUCGAGCGAACGGACGAGAAGCUUGCUUCUCUGAUGUUAGCGGCGGACGGGUGAGUAACACGUGGAUAACCUACCUAUAAGACUGGGAUAACUUCGGGAAACCGGAGCUAAUACCGGAUAAUAUUUUGAACCGCAUGGUUCAAAAGUGAAAGACGGUCUUGCUGUCACUUAUAGAUGGAUCCGCGCUGCAUUAGCUAGUUGGUAAGGUAACGGCUUACCAAGGCAACGAUGCAUAGCCGACCUGAGAGGGUGAUCGGCCACACUGGAACUGAGACACGGUCCAGACUCCUACGGGAGGCAGCAGUAGGGAAUCUUCCGCAAUGGGCGAAAGCCUGACGGAGCAACGCCGCGUGAGUGAUGAAGGUCUUCGGAUCGUGAAACUCUGUUAUUAGGGAAGAACAUAUGUGUAAGUAACUGCGCACAUCUUGACGGUACCUAAUCAGAAAGCCACGGCUAACUACGUGCCAGCAGCCGCGGUAAUACGUAGGUGGCAAGCGUUAUCCGGAAUUAUUGGGCGUAAAGCGCGCGUAGGCGGUUUUUUAGUCUGAUGUGAAAGCCCACGGCUCAACCGUGGAGGGUCAUUGGAAACUGGAAAACUUGAGUGCAGAAGAGGAAAGUGGAAUUCCAUGUGUAGCGGUGAAAUGCGCAGAGAUAUGGAGGAACACCAGUGGCGAAGGCGACUUUCUGGUCUGUAACUGACGCUGAUGUGCGAAAGCGUGGGGAUCAAACAGGAUUAGAUACCCUGGUAGUCCACGCCGUAAACGAUGAGUGCUAAGUGUUAGGGGGUUUCCGCCCCUUAGUGCUGCAGCUAACGCAUUAAGCACCCCGCCUGGGGAGUACGACCGCAAGGUUGAAACUCAAAGGAAUUGACGGGGACCCGCACAAGCGGUGGAGCAUGUGGUUUAAUUCGAAGCAACGCGAAGAACCUUACCAAAUCUUGACAUCCUUUGACAACUCUAGAGAUAGAGCCUUCCCCUUCGGGGGACAAAGUGACAGGUGGUGCAUGGUUGUCGUCAGCUCGUGUCGUGAGAUGUUGGGUUAAGUCCCGCAACGAGCGCAACCCUUAAGCUUAGUUGCCAUCAUUAAGUUGGGCACUCUAAGUUGACUGCCGGUGACAAACCGGAGGAAGGUGGGGAUGACGUCAAAUCAUCAUGCCCCUUAUGAUUUGGGCUACACACGUGCUACAAUGGACAAUACAAAGGGCAGCGAAACCGCGAGGUCAAGCAAAUCCCAUAAAGUUGUUCUCAGUUCGGAUUGUAGUCUGCAACUCGACUACAUGAAGCUGGAAUCGCUAGUAAUCGUAGAUCAGCAUGCUACGGUGAAUACGUUCCCGGGUCU
rnacentral:rRNA from 1 species